UACGUAGGGUGCAAGCGUUAAUCGGAAUUACUGGGCGUAAAGCGUGCGCAGGCGGUUUUGUAAGUCUGAUGUGAAAUCCCCGGGCUCAACCUGGGAAUUGCAUUGGAGACUGCAAGGCUAGAAUCUGGCAGAGGGGGGUAGAAUUCCACGUGUAGCAGUGAAAUGCGUAGAUAUGCGGAGGAACACCGAUGGCGAAGGCAAUCCCCUGGGCCUGCACUGACGCUCAUGCACGAAAGCGUGGGGAGCAAACAGG
rnacentral:rRNA from 1 species